UUCUCCUUCUUCUUCUUCUUCUUAUUCGAUUUCUGCUUCAUUGAUCUCAAAUCAUGGCCUCCAGGCAAGGGCGGAUUCUUAUUGCAUUAGUUCUCGCCGGAUUCUUCGUUUGCGGUCAUUCUUAUAACCGGCCGCCGCCGCGAAAAAACGUCUAUGUGAAACUAUCAGAAGAUGAUGAUGAUGAUUCCACAACUCCACAACAGGUUCAUAUAUCAAUGGCUGGUGAAGAUAAUAUGAGAAUAUCAUGGAUAACAAACGAUCCAACUCCAGCAAUAGUAGACUAUGGUACAUCUCCUGGAGUAUACACCAGCUCUGCAAAUGGAACUACAUCAUCUUAUCGCUACAUUAUGUAUAAUUCUGGCCAAAUUCAUAACGUAGUCAUUGGUUCGCUCAACCCAAAUACUGUUUAUUAUUACCGUUGCAGCUCAAACUCAGCUCGCCAGUUCAGUUUCAAAACCCCACCACCUCAACUUCCUAUCAAAUUCGCCAUUUCAGGUGAUCUUGGACAAACUGGUUGGACCACGUCAACCCUUGACCACAUAUCAAAAUCAGACUACGAUAUGUUGCUUCUACCAGGGGACUUAUCAUACGCCGAUACGGUUCAAAAUCUGUGGGACUCAUUUGGGCAGCUGGUGGAGCCAUUGGCCAGCCAGCGGCCGUGGAUGGUAACACAGGGCAACCAUGAAAUUGAAAAAUUUCCAAUUCUCCAUACAAGCCCAUUCACAGCCUACAAUGCUAGAUGGCAGAUGCCAUUUGAAGAAAGCGGGUCCAAUUCCAAUUUAUACUACUCUUUCAAUGUAGCUUCUGGUGUACAUGUAAUUAUGCUGGGGUCAUACACAGAUUUUGAUCCAAAUUCACCUCAGUACAAGUGGCUACAAGCUGAUUUGGCCAAGGUUGAUAGGGCCAAAACUCCAUGGAUUUUGGUGCUGAUCCAUGCACCUUGGUAUAAUUCUAAUACUGCACAUCAGGGUGAGCCUGAGUCAAUAAACAUGAAGAAAUUCAUGGAAGGAUUGCUUUACCAAGCUCAGGUUGAUGUUGUUUUUGCUGGGCAUGUGCACGCAUAUGAGCGAUUUACUCGUGUUUAUCAAGGGAAAGCAGACGACUGUGGUCCUGUUCAUAUAACUAUUGGAGAUGGUGGCAACCGUGAAGGCCUUGCUAAAGAUUACAUAGAUCCAAAGCCAGCAAUUUCAGUUUUCAGAGAGGCAAGCUUUGGACAUGGGCAACUAGAGGUGGUGAAUGCAACCCAUGCUCAAUGGACAUGGCAUAGAAAUGAUGAUGAUGAGCAAUUUGCCAGUGACUCAAUCUGGCUCACCAGCCUCUCUUCUAAUCCUGCUUGUAAAAUCUGAGGAAUAUGCCCAGUAGGCAGUAAGGGUAGAUAGUAUCAUAUUGAUGUUUUUAUCCUUAGGAAAGUAAAUAUCCUCAGGAAGGUAGAAUAAAUGUGUUGCAAGUAUAGAUAUUUUUAUGCUUUUCACAAUGGAAAUCAGUCAGGCUUUUUGAGUGA
rnacentral:misc_RNA from 1 species